UACGUAGGGUGCAAGCGUUGUCCGGAAUUAUUGGGCGUAAAGAGCUCGUAGGCGGUUUGUUGCGUCGGCUGUGAAAUCCCGAGGCUCAACCUCGGGUCUGCAGUCGAUACGAGCAAACUAGAGUGUUGCAGGGGAGACUGGAAUUCCUGGUGUAGCGGUGAAAUGACGCAGAUAUCAGGAGGAACACCGGUGGCGAAGGCGGGUCUCUGGGCCGAUACU
rnacentral:rRNA from 1 species